rnacentral:misc_RNA from 1 species
AACGGUCUAUACCUGCGGUACCUGCGGAGGGAUCAUUACCGAGUUUACAACUCCCAAACCCCUGUGAACAUACCACUCGUUGCCUCGGCGGAUCACCGCGCCCCGUGAAACGGGCCGGCCCGCCAGAGGACCUAAACUCAAAUGUUUUAUUGUAUCUUCUGAGUAAAAACACAAAUAAAUCAAAACUUUCAGCAAUGGAUCUCU